AGCGAACGCUGGCGGCAGGCCUAACACAUGCAAGUCGAACGAACCUUUCGGGGUUAGUGGCGGACGGGUGAGUAACACGUGGGAACGUGCCUUUAGGUUCGGAAUAACUCAGGGAAACUUGUGCUAAUACCGAACGUGCCCUUCGGGGGAAAGAUUAAUCGCCUUUAGAGCGGCCCGCGUCUGAUUAGCUAGUUGGUUGAGGUAAUGGCUCACCAAGGCGACGAUCAGUAGCUGGUCUGAGAGGAUGAUCAGCCACAUUGGGACUGAGACACGGCCCGAACUCCUACGGGAGGCAGCAGUGGGGAAUCUUGCGCAAUGGGCGAAAGCCUGACGCAGCCAUGCCGCGUGAAUGAUGAAGGUCUUAGGAUUGUAAAAUUCUUUCACCGGGGACGAUAAUGACGGUACCCGGAGAAGAAGCCCCGGCUAACUUCGUG
rnacentral:rRNA from 1 species